GACGAACGCUGGCGGCGUGCUUAACACAUGCAAGUCGAACGGAAAGGCCCUGCUUGCCGGGUACUCGAGUGGCGAACGGGUGAGUAACACGUGGGUGAUCUGCCCUGCACUUCGGGAUAAGCCUGGGAAACUGGGUCUAAUACCGGAUAUGACCUUCCAUGUAGUGUGGGGGGUGGAAAGAUUUAUCGGUGUGGGAUGAGCCCGCGGCCUAUCAGCUUGUUGGUGGGGUAAUGGCCUACCAAGGCGUCGACGGGUAGCCGGCCUGAGAGGGUGGACGGCCACAUUGGGACUGAGAUACGGCCCAGACUCCUACGGGAGGCAGCAGUGGGGAAUAUUGCACAAUGGGCGGAAGCCUGAUGCAGCGACGCCGCGUGGGGGAUGACGGCCUUCGGGUUGUAAACCUCUUUCGACAGGGACGAAGCUUCGGUGACGGUACCUGUAUAAGAAGCACCGGCUAACUACGUG
rnacentral:rRNA from 1 species